GAAUCUUGGGAAUGGGCGAAAGCCUGACCCAGCAACGCCGCGUGGGCGAUGAAGGCCUUCGGGUCGUAAAGCCCUUUUGAGUGGGACGAUGAUGACGGUACCGCUCGAAUAAGCCACGGCUAACUACGUGCCAGCAGCCGCGGUAAUACGUAGGUGGCAAGCGUUGUCCGGAUUUACUGGGCGUAAAGGGCGUGCAGGCGGUUUGUUUAGUGCAGGGUGAAAGCCCCCGGCUUAACUGGGGGAGGUCCUUGCAUACUGGCAGACUUGAGGGAGGCAGAGGAAAGUGGAAUUCCCGGUGUAGUGGUGAUAUGCGUAGAUAUCGGGAGGAACACCAGUGGCGAAGGCGGCUUUCUGGGCCUUACCUGACGCUGAGACGCGAAAGCGUGGGGAGCGAACCG
rnacentral:rRNA from 1 species